rnacentral:tRNA from 1 species
GUUUCCCUAGUGUAGCGGUUAUCACGUUCGCCUAACACCGAGAAAGGUCGCUGGUUCGAAACCAGGGGGAAACA